rnacentral:rRNA from 1 species
GCCAGACUCCUACGGGAGGCAGCAGUGGGGGAUAUUGCACAAUGGGGGGAACCCUGAUGCAGCGACGCCGCGUGGGCGAGGGAGCGCCUCGGCGCGUAAAGCCCUUUCGGCGGGGGAGAACGAUGACGGUACCCGACGAAGAAGCACCGGCUAAAUACGUGCCAGCAGCCGCGGUAAUACGUAUGGGGCGAGCGUUUUCCGGAUUUACUGGGGGUGAAGGGGGCGCAGGCGGCGCGCCAAGCCCGAUGUGAGAGCGCGGGGCGCAACCCCGGGACUGCAUUGGGAACUGGGGUGCUGGAGUGCCGGGGGGGGGGGCGGAAUUCCUGGUGGAGCGGGGAAAUGCGUAGAGAUCAGGAGGAACACCGGUGGCGAAGGCGGCCUGCUGGACGGAUACUGACGCUGAGGCCCGAAAGCGUGGGGAGCGAACAGGAUUAGAUACCCUAGUAAG